rnacentral:misc_RNA from 1 species
CUACCUUCACUGAUUCUUUCUCCGUUUCUCAGGUAAUUCAAUCGUUGCUCUUCUAAUCGAAUUUCUUGCGUUCUCUUUCUUUUCUUAAUUUACCUUGUAUCGAAAAUUCGAGUCUGGGAUUCAAUUUCAGGUAUCUUCUUUGAUAGUCUUUCCUCAAUUCUUACUCUCUUUUCAUUUUUUCUAUGAAGAUCGAGCGAGCAAGAGCGAAAGAGAAUUCAUAUUAUCUGAGUUCUGUGUGUUAUGAUUUUUUUCUUUUUUAAAUUGUAUAUAUCAGUUUAUUGAAUAUGAGAUUUUAGUUAAAUUAGAAUAUGUUUGUGUAUCUUUUUAGUGUUCUGCGAUGACAACAUUUAGCAUUCAUGUUGAUUUUCUUUGUUUGGUCUGAGACAAUGAAGGAAACAAAUGGAAUAUAACUCUUGCUUUUCUUUUCUUUUUUUCUCAAUUUGCUAUAUACAAUUGGUAUAAUUUCUGAAGAUAGUUGUAAUUGAGCUCAACUGGGUGGAGUUUCUUCUCUAUACCCAUUUAUUUAAAUCUUAAAAUUCUAUAGUUGUAUGUUGGAGCUACGCAGUUUUUUUUCCCUCUUUUUUUUGGGUAAAAUAUGGUUGCUCGUGUUUAAUAUGAUGAAAGUUUCAUGCCCGCUUUAAAAAUUGGUUAUUUUUAGGUGCAUAUGUGCCCAUUUGUGUUUAAUCUAAUGGAUAGCUUUGUUUUGCUAUGAUUUCAUUUAUUUCUAUUGGAGUAAGAGUGUUACAAGGGUCUCAUAACUAUGCACGUGGUGUGAAUUUAACUAACUUUGGAUUUGCUGACUGGUAGAUGGCUCAAUUUAAGCUUUUCCCAGUUUAUUGCCUGGUGACAUUAUAAUUAAUUUUCAUUGCAGAAAGUAUCUGGUCGCACAGCUUGCAUUGCUUAGGUCGAGAAAGGUGUUUCUAUUGUUUCAUUAAGUUUUAGUUAUUGAGCUUUGUUAUUGUAACUAUAAACAUGUUAUGAUCACAUAUAUCACUACAUGAAAGCGAAGCAUUCUACAGAUAAGGCAUUGUGUGGACCAAGAAUUCUAUGUUACUUGGAC